UUCCGAUCGUCCAGUCCUAGACCAAAAUACCUUCCUUAAGUUAUAUCACAUACAAACAAAUGGGGCUAAUUGAAUGAGAAUAGCAAUUUUAUACCUAACAAAGAAAGCAAUUUUAUACCUAACUGUCAUUUGAGCCUGCUUCGCGUGCUUUCUAGCUGCUGCUCACGGCUCACCUCACAGUCACGCUCGCGGUCUGCCGGGCUGCACUCGCACGUGCUGCGCACCCCGACGGCCUGGCCGCCCCGGCCUCUGGCCCAUCUCGCGCAGCCACUAUCGUCUUCAACUAAUGCAAUGAUUGUUGGGCGAUUUUACAUCCCCUGUUCUUUGCUAUUGUGGCCUUUUCUCCACUGUUGCUACCAACUUAAUGCAAUGAUUGUUGAUAUAUCAGGAGAUGCGGUUGGAUUCAGUGAAGGCCUAGUAAUCAGCUGAUUAUCAUGCAUAUGGAGGAGCGAAUGCUUCAAGGAGCUUGUUUGGUGGCCGGCUGCCCCCUCCAGUGAACCACCGCUCGUCCCCUCCACGCCCUAGCUGCUGCAGCAGAGUUCCUCCCGCCGCCGCCGUGCCCAGUGACGAUGUGGGCCAGCGUGCUAGCCCCGCACAUAUAGCACGGGCCUUUGCGAGGCGGCGCGGGAACGGUUACAGAGUGGAGGGCACCACAGCUCCCACGAACCACCGCUCGUCCGCUUGGUUGCCGCAGUUUGGUCGGAGGCGAAGACGACGACGAAGACGCGCUCGGCCACGGUGCACGGAGCGGACCAGAAGACAUGGUUCUUUACCGCGCCGGGCUCCGCAUGAAGCCAAGCAAGCACGCGGCUGCAUUGCGGCAAAGGUUGGUGUCUCCGGCAUCUGCAGGCCAGCUGCUCGAUGCUUUGCCUGCAAGAGUUACAUCCCCUGUUCUUGGCUGCUGCAUCCUUUUUCCCUCUUUUGCUAUCAAGUAUCAACCAUUGAUAUAUCAGGACAUGCUAGUGGAGGCGUAUUAAUCAGUUGAUUCUCAUGCAUACGGAGCACGGGAGGAGCGAAUACUUAAAAAGCUUGUGUGGUAGUUCUGCUAAGGAUACAUCAUCUAAUUUUCUGGACAUGGUCAGGAGGGUAGUCUACACUCUCCAGCUGAGUUUUUGUCAGUUAUUGUCAUAAAAAUAUAGAAAAAGUUGGGAAGUUGAACCUUUUUCCAACAUCUCACCGCAAGCGCAUGUGACAACUGCUGAAGUCCAGAAACUUGCACAAAGUCUAAUUGGAUAUUUGGGGCAGGCAAGUGUGCAUUAAUGAUAAAUGUGGAUUCGAUUAAUGGAAGGAAUGCUUGCCCUUUUUUUCGUAUAAAAUGUGAUCUUCAGUAUCUAGGUUUAUUUGGCGCAUUAAGCAUUCAAGAAGAAAUAGAGAGAGUUGUCUGCCCAACAUACAAAAAAAUUACAGAGAAGAGGACG